AUUGAACGCUGGCGGCAUGCUUUACACAUGCAAGUCGAACGGUAACAGGGAGCUUGCUCCGCUGACGAGUGGCGAACGGGUGAGUAAUGCAUCGGAACGUACCCAGUCGUGGGGGAUAACGUAGCGAAAGUUACGCUAAUACCGCAUACGUCCUGAGGGAGAAAGCGGGGGACCGUAAGGCCUCGCGCGAUUGGAGCGGCCGAUGUCGGAUUAGCUAGUUGGUAGGGUAAAGGCCUACCAAGGCGACGAUCCGUAGCGGGUCUGAGAGGAUGAUCCGCCACACUGGGACUGAGACACGGCCCAGACUCCUACGGGAGGCAGCAGUGGGGAAUUUUGGACAAUGGGCGAAAGCCUGAUCCAGCCAUGCCGCGUGAGUGAAGAAGGCCU
rnacentral:rRNA from 1 species